rnacentral:lncRNA from 1 species
GCGGUUCUUCCAUACUCGGAUGUUUUAGAACUUCAAAGAGGACGCCUUUGGGCAAUUCGGCUGGAGCCGAUGUCGCCAGUUUGGAGAGAAGAUCGGCUCUGGUAUUCUCCGACCUUAGAAUCUGCCUGAUGUCGAAACUGCUAAAGGUAGGGGUGAACUCCUUCACUUUCUCAAGAUAUUUGGCCAUACUGUCCUCCCGUGCUUCAUAGCUCCCGCUGACUUG